GUGGGGAAUAUUGGACAAUGGGCGAAAGCCUGAUCCAGCCAUGCCGCGUGUGUGAAGAAGGUCUUCGGAUUGUAAAGCACUUUAAGUUGGGAGGAAGGGCAGUAAGUUAAUACCUUGCUGUUUUGACGUUACCGACAGAAUAAGCACCGGCUAACUUCGUGCCAGCAGCCGCGGUAAUACGAAGGGUGCAAGCGUUAAUCGGAAUUACUGGGCGUAAAGCGCGCGUAGGUGGUUUUGUAAGUUGGAGGUGAAAUCCCCGGGCUCAACCUGGGAACUGCCUCCCAAACUGCAUGACUAGAGUACGGUAGAGGGUAGUGGAAUUUCCUGUGUAGCGGUGAAAUGCGUAGAUAUAGGAAGGAACACCAGUGGCGAAGGCGACUACCUGGACUGAUACUGACACUGAGGUGCGAAAGCAUGGGGAGCAAACAGGAUUAGAUACCCUGGUAGUCC
rnacentral:rRNA from 1 species